AUUUAUCGAAUAAUAACGGCAGUUACUUUUAAAAUUAUUACUGCAUAUUCCAGCAUUCUCGUGCCCGAAGCAAGUCAACGUAACAUUUUUCUGCCUUCGUUAUAAAUUUCACAAUCAUGUUACACUGGGAAGAAGAUCCCUUAUAGCCAUUCUCUAUAUCAAACGCAGCAGUUAGCAGUCGUGAUAGAAACAAAAUCAUUAUGGAGACUGAGGAGGAGGAGGAAUCGACCUCCACGUGUGCCCAGGUAGCCACCAAUCCAGCAGUUAGCAGUCGUGAUAGAAACAAAAUCAUUAUGGAGACUGAGGAGGAGGAGGAAUCGACAUCCACGUGUGCCC